rnacentral:lncRNA from 1 species
GUUGGAGUCUGUAGCUAGAGUCGGAGGUGAAGUCCGACUCCCGUAGGAGCUCGGACGAGGCCUUCCUGCAGUCGAAGUUGGGGAUGAAGUACGGCUCCCAUAGGAGUACGGACGGAGUUUGUCUGCAAUCGGAGUUGGAGAUGGAGUCCGGCUCUUGUAGGAGUCCGGAUGGAGCUUACCAGUGUUCGAAGUCGAGGACG